rnacentral:rRNA from 1 species
GACGAACGCUGGCGGCGUGCUUAACACAUGCAAGUCGAACGGAAAGGCCCUGCUUUUGUGGGGUGCUCGAGUGGCGAACGGGUGAGUAACACGUGAGUAACCUGCCCUUGACUUUGGGAUAACUUCAGGAAACUGGGGCUAAUACCGGAUAGGAGCUCCUUCUUCAUGGUGGGGGUUGGAAAGUUUCGGCGGUUGGGGAUGGACUCGCGGCUUAUCAGCUUGUUGGUGGGGUAGUGGCUUACCAAGGCUUUGACGGGUAGCCGGCCUGAGAGGGUGACCGGCCACAUAGGGACUGAGAUACGGCCCAGACUCCUACGGGAGGCAGCAGUGGGGAAUAUUGCACAAUGGGCGGAAGCCUGAUGCAGCAACGCCGCGUGCGGGAUGAAGGCCUUCGGGUUGUAAACCGCUUUCGCCUGUGACGAAGCGUGAGUGACGGUAAUGGGUAAAGAAGCACCGGCUAACUACGUG